CCUACGGGUGGCAGCAGUGAGGAAUAUUGGUCAAUGGCCGGGAGGCUGAACCAGCCAAGUCGCGUGAGGGAAGACGGCCCUACGGGUUGUAAACCUCUUUUGUCAGGGAGCAAGGGGCAGGUCGGGACCUGCUGUGAGAAUACCUUAAGAAAAAGCAUCGGCGAACUCCGGGCCAGCAGCCGCGGUAAUACGGAGGAUGCGAGCGUUAUCCCGAUUUAUUGGGGUUAAAGGGUGCGCAGGCGGAGGCACAAGUCAGGGGUAAAAUCGCGGGGCUCAACCCCGCUCCGCCGUUGAAACUGUGUGCCUUGAGUGCGCGAAGGGUAGGCGGAAUGCGUGGUGUAGCGGUGAAAUGCAUAGAUAUCACGCAGAACUCCGAUCGCGAAGGCAGCCUACCGGCGCGCAACUGACGCUGAUGCACGAAAGCGUGGGUAUCGAACAGGAUUAGAUACCCUUGUAGUC
rnacentral:rRNA from 1 species